rnacentral:rRNA from 1 species
AGAGUUUGAUCAUGGCUCAGAUUGAACGCUGGCGGCAUGCCUUACACAUGCAAGUCGAACGGCAGCACGGACUUCGGUCGGGUGGCGAGUGGCGAACGGGUGAGUAAUACAUCGGAACGUGUCCUGGAGUGGGGGAUAGCCCGGCGAAAGCCGGAUUAAUACCGCAUACGCUCUGAGGUGGAAAGCGGGGGAUCUUCGGACCUCGCGCUCAAGGGGCGGCCGAUGGCAGAUUAGCUAGUUGGUGGGGUAAAGGCCUACCAAGGCGACGAUCUGUAGCUGGUCUGAGAGGACGACCAGCCACACUGGGACUGAGACACGGCCCAGACUCCUACGGGAGGCAGCAGUGGGGAAUUUUGGACAAUGGGCGCAAGCCUGAUCCAGCAAUGCCGCGUGUGUGAAGAAGGCCUUCGGGUUGUAAAGCACUUUUGUCCGGAAAGAAAACCUCUGCCCUAAUACGGCGGGGGGAUGACGGUACCGGAAGAAUAAGCACCGGCUAACUACGUGCCAGCAGCCGCGGUAAUACGUAGGGUGCAAGCGUUAAUCGGAAUUACUGGGCGUAAAGCGUGCGCAGGCGGUCCGUUAAGACAGAUGUGAAAUCCCCGGGCUUAACCUGGGAACUGCAUUUGUGACUGGCGGACUCGAGUAUGGCAGAGGGGGGUAGAAUUCCACGUAGCAGUGAAAUGCGUAGAGAUGUGGAGGAACACCCGUGGCGAAACGGCGCGCUGGACCACUACUGACGCUGAGGAACGAAAGCUAGGGAGCAAACAGGAUUAGAUACCCUAGUAGUCC